GGGGUUGUGGCUCAGUGGUAGAGCAUCCGCUUGACAUGCAGAGGGUCCCAGGUUCAAUUCCUGUCAUCUCCA